GAUGAACGCUGGCGGUAUGCUUAACACAUGCAAGUCGAACGGACUCUUCGGAGUUAGUGGCGGACGGGUGAGUAACGCGUGAGAAUCUGGCUUUGGGUUCGGGACAACCACUGGAAACGGUGGCUAAUACCGGAUGUGCCGAGAGGUAAAAGAGAAAUUGCCUGAAGAUGAGCUCGCGUCUGAUUAGCUAGUUGGUGAGGUAAAGGCUCACCAAGGCAGCGAUCAGUAGCUGGUCUGAGAGGAUGACCAGCCACACUUGGACUGAGACGCGGCACAGACUCCUACGGGAGGCAGCAGUGGAGAAUGUUCCGCAAUGGGCGAGAGCGUGACGGAGCAAUACCGCGUGAGGGAAGAAGGCUCUUGGGUUGUAAACCUCUUUGCUUAGAGAAGAACAAAAUGACGGUACCUAAGGAAUCAGCAUCGGCUAACUCCGUG
rnacentral:rRNA from 1 species